CUAAAACGAGCAAGAAUUCCAAUUGCUGACUAUGAAUAUCUGAAUACAGCACUACUUUCUAAUUGCUUCACUUGCUACAGAGAGAAAUAAAACUGUGAGACUGUGAAGUGUAUAAAGGAUUCUACCGCUCUCCCGGGGCUUGGAGACCCACAGAUUGGAGAAAGGGACCUCUGAGGGUCUAUUUGAGGGCAUGAAUAUGGAAAAUUCAGCUCCAGCUCCUCCACCCCACUCCCUGAACAGCACUGCAGAACUGUGCUAAGCUCCUGUGGCUUGGAAAGAACAGAUGCAAGAGACAUAAUAAAUGCCUCCAAAUAACUUAGUCCUCAACCUGAAGCCAAAGUGAUUUCGGUGUACCAGGAUUGAAAUACUUCUGUAUUCACAACUGAAUGGAUAAACGGGCACUCCUUGUGGCUCCUCAUUGUAUGUCCCCUAGAGGGUCAGCAAGGCCAAGAAUUGGUUUGUGGAACAAAUAUCCAUUACUCCAAUCGGGGAUGAAAAAGAGUACACGCCAUGGAUUUUGCUCUCGGGAGUGAUUGAUUCAGCGAGUGAAAUAAGACCAACAUGCAUGGAAGGGUUGAUGAUGCUAGAAUCUCCCACACUUUGCCAGCCACAGGGAAGUCAAAUCAGUAUUGACUUUGUUAUUCAAAUCAGCACCAGACCGGUCACUUUUAGAAGUGAUACCAUGGGAGGCAAUUAAACCCAGGAAAAUGCUGAGCACUAGAGUGACCAUGCAAGAAGGGGCCUUAGAGAUAGAUCCUGUACGUCUUCACCUGUUGGUGCCAGGGCCAGAACAGAGGCCUGCAAGGGUAAGAGCAAGCUCAGCACCACAGAACUUGUAGGUAACAGAGCCGGGCUCAAGUGCACGCUUCCUGACUGCAAUUUCAACACUCCCAUUCAAGGGAGAUUUCUAAGGUAGCAGAUGGACCAUUCAAAGACUUAGAAAACGAGGCCAAAGAGAUGAAUAAAUGGUGAGAGUAAUGAGUCUUGCUUUUAAAUGGAAUUCGUAAUUUCUUUCUUUUUUUUUUAAAUUAAAUUU
rnacentral:lncRNA from 10 species